rnacentral:rRNA from 1 species
AUUGAACGCUGGCGGCAUGCCUUACACAUGCAAGUCGAACGGUAACGGGCCUUCGGGUGCCGACGCGUGGCGAACGGGUGAGUAAUACAUCGGAACGUGCCCGAUCGUGGGGGAUAACGAGGCGAAAGCUUUGCUAAUACCGCAUACGAUCUACGGAUGAAAGCCGGGGACCGCAAGGCCUUGCGCGGACGGAGCGGCCGAUGGCCGAUUAGGUAGUUGGUGGGAUAAAAGCUUACCAAGCCGACGAUCUGUAGCUGGUCUGAGAGGAUGAUCAGCCACACUGGGACUGAGACACGGCCCAGACUCCUACGGGAGGCAGCAGUGGGGAAUUUUGGACAAUGGGCGCAAGCCUGAUCCAGCCAUGCCGCGUGCAGGAUGAAGGCCUUCGGGUUGUAAACUGCUUUUGUACGGAACGAAAAGCCUUCUUUUAAUACAGGAGGGUCAUGACGGUACCGUAAGAAUAAGCACCGGCUAACUACGUG